rnacentral:rRNA from 1 species
GACGAACGCUGGCGGCGUGCUUAACACAUGCAAGUCGAGCGGAGCGGCGAACGGGUGAGUAACGCGUGAGUAACUGCCCCCCUCUCUGGGAUAACAGUUGGAAACGGCUGCUAAUACCGGAUAGUGGGGGAUGACUCGCGUCCUAUCAGCUUGUUGGUGGGGUAGUGGCCUACCAAGGCGUCGACGGGUGGCCGGCAUGAGAGGGCGACCGGCCCAAUUGGGAUGAGAGACGGCCCAAACGCCGACGGGAGGCAGCAGUGGGGAAGAUGGCACCAUGGGGGAAACCCUGAUGAAGCAACGCCGCGUGCGGGAUGACGGCCUUCGGGUUGUAAACCGCUUUCAGCCAUGACGCGGUAGUGGCAGAAGAAGCACCGGCUAACUACGUGCCAGCAGCCGCGGUAAUAC